CUCCCAGCUGUUUUUUUCAAAGAUGGUGUCUUUAUUGGGAAUGAGGCUACAGGUCACAUGACCAUCCAGCAUGUUUCCAGGUCUGAUGAAGGCCUCUACAAGUGUGACAUCAGCGGUCAUGGAGAGUCUCCAUCCAGCUGGAUCACUGUCACAGACAAACACACCACCACACCUCCACCUACAUUUAUCUCUAACCCUCCAUCUACCCCUGAUCCAUCUGCAGUGAGAACAUAAGACGUCUGAGCAAAGUAACCCAGAGGUACAGCUGCUCCUCAUUUAGUGCAAAGAAGAUAAAUCUGUUUCUUUAAAACUUGACCUUUUCCCUUAAACUGAUCAGAAAGUGAAUCAACAACAUGAGCAGGGAACAAGACCCUUACAGCAUUUUAAGUGUCAGAGGAUUUCUAGGUUUAUUAAUGUUUCAUUAUAAUUGUAUUAAUUUUAUUCUUAUACCUUAACUACACAUAAGUAUAAUUUCUGUGUAUCAAGUAACUUUUGUGCAGUGCUGUGUGAGAUUAUUCUGUUAUCAUAUGUUACCUUAUAUCUGUAAUCAAAGUAGUUGAAUUAUGAUACUGCUGUAGAUCAUAUUAUACCCCUUAAUAUAGAGUGUGUGAUCAGUAUGUAGUUUUA